rnacentral:rRNA from 3 species
CUUGACGACCAUAGAGCAUUGGAACCACCUGAUCCCAUCCCGAACUCAGCAGUGAAACGAUGAAUCGCCGAUGGUAGUGUGGGGUUUCCCCAUGUGAGAGUAGGUCAUCGUCAAGA